rnacentral:rRNA from 1 species
AGAGUUUGAUCAUGGCUCAGAUUGAACGCUGGCGGCAGGCCUAACACAUGCAAGUCGAACGGUAACAGAAAGCAGCUUGCUGCUUUGCUGACGAGUGGCGGACGGGUGAGUAAUGUCUGGGAAACUGCCCGAUGGAGGGGGAUAACUACUGGAAACGGUAGCUAAUACCGCAUAACGUCGCAAGACCAAAGAGGGGGACCUUAGGGCCUCUUGCCAUCGGAUGUGCCCAGAUGGGAUUAGCUAGUAGGUGGGGUAACGGCUCACCUAGGCGACGAUCCCUAGCUGGUCUGAGAGGAUGACCAGCCACACUGGAACUGAGACACGGUCCAGACUCCUACGGGAGGCAGCAGUGGGGAAUAUUGCACAAUGGGCGCAAGCCUGAUGCAGCCAUGCCGCGUGUAUGAAGAAGGCCUUCGGGUUGUAAAGUACUUUCAGCGGGGAGGAAGGGAGUAAAGUUAAUACCUUUGCUCAUUGACGUUACCCGCAGAAGAAGCACCGGCUAACUCCGUGCCAGCAGCCGCGGUAAUACGGAGGGUGCAAGCGUUAAUCGGAAUUACUGGGCGUAAAGCGCACGCAGGCGGUUUGUUAAGUCAGAUGUGAAAUCCCCGGGCUCAACCUGGGGAACUGCAUCUGAUACUGGCAAGCUUGAGUCUCGUAGAGGGGGGUAGAAUUCCAGGUGUAGCGGUGAAAUGCGUAGAGAUCUGGAGGAAUACCGGGUGGCGAAGGCGGCCCCUGGACGAAGACUGACGCUCAGGUGCGAAAGCGUGGGAGCAAACAGGAUAGAUACCCUGGUAGUCCAC